GGAUAUGUAUGGGUGAGCUCGUU
rnacentral:miRNA from 1 species